rnacentral:rRNA from 1 species
AGUGAACGCUGGCGGUAGGCCUAACACAUGCAAGUCGAACGGCAGCACAGUAAGAGCUUGCUCUUACGGGUGGCGAGUGGCGGACGGGUGAGGAAUACAUCGGAAUCUACUUUUUCGUGGGGGAUAACGUAGGGAAACUUACGCUAAUACCGCAUACGACCUACGGGUGAAAGCAGGGGAUCUUCGGACCUUGCGCGAUUGAAUGAGCCGAUGUCGGAUUAGCUAGUUGGCGGGGUAAAGGCCCACCAAGGCGACGAUCCGUAGCUGGUCUGAGAGGAUGAUAAGCCACCCUGGAACUGAGACACGGUCCAGACUACUACGGGAGGCAGCAGUGGGGAAUAUUGGACAAUGGGCGCAAGCCUGAUCCAGCCAUACCGCGUGGGUAAAGAAGGCCUUCGGGUUGUAAAGCCCUUUUGUUGGGAAAGAAAAGCAGCAGGUUAAUACCCCGCUGUUCUGACGGUACCCAAAGAAUAAGCACCGGCUAACUUCGUG